AGUCUCCAAAAAGUUCUUAUUUUUUGUUUUGGAUUCAUGUGAUAUUAUUAUACUUAAAUUCGUAUAAAUUACGAAGUAAAAAUGAAGGCUAUAUUCGUAAAUACAAACUAUGAGUUGGUCUAUAAAUAACGUUCAAGUCCCUCUUCUUCGUCACACUGCUAUUCCUCUUAAGCUUGCUACUGAGUUUCCACACUGCAUACCUUAGGUCUUCCGAAUUCGAAGUUAAUUUGCAAGAUGGCUAAGGAAAAGGCUCAGAUCAACAUUGUGGUGGUUGGUCAUGUGGACCCUGAGGAGGCAACCACCAUUAACGAGCUGAAGAAGCCUGUUGUGGAGAAAGAAGCUCCAGGGCAUGCCAUAUGAGGGCAUGCACGUACGGCCUCGGAGGGGAACCAGAAAAUUAUGUUAACAAAAUAAUCUGGAACCCUAAUGUAUCAGUGUCAUCAUCAGUGUGUAGUUUAAGCUAGCUUUGCUAUGGUUACGUUCUUUGAGAUGAGAGUCUUGAUGAACAGUACCAUUCUGAUGUAUUGCUUUCCUUGAAAGUUAAUGCAUGCUUCUUAUCUUCUGUCUA